rnacentral:rRNA from 1 species
UGCGGAGGGUGCAAGCGUUAAUCGGAAUUACUGGGCGUAAAGAGCUCGUAGGUGGUUUGUCGCGUCGUCUGUGAAAUUCCGGGGCUUAACUCCGGGCGUGCAGGCGAUACGGGCAUAACUUGAGUACUGUAGGGGAGACUGGAAUUCCUGGUGUAGCGGUGAAAUGCGCAGAUAUCAGGAGGAACACCGGUGGCGAAGGCGGGUCUCUGGGCAGUAACUGACGCUGAGGAGCGAAAGCGUGGGUAGCAAACAGG